CUGCCGUCGCCGGAAAAAGUGGCCAGUAAGGGUUUUAUUUGAAGUUUCUGCCUUUUUGGAUUUCGAGAAGGUUUUAAUGUUGCGCGGUUUUUAUAGUUGAUCCACCGAAGCUUCUGGCCGCCGCCAGAGCUGUUGCCGGGGCCGGUUCGGAAUCGCAGCUGCCUUAUUGUAUUAUUUCGUGUUGCUAUGGUUAUUGCAAAAGUGGCUGGGAGCUGAGGCUUUAGUUUUCGUCAGUUCGGUUUGAGACGGAAAGGACUUGAUGAGGCAUUUGGGCUAUGGUUUUGCAUUUUGAGGUACGGGCGCUUUCCAAAAACUGUGUUUUAUGUAUUGGAAUUAUUACAUAUGGGUACUGAUGUGAGAUAUUGUGUA